GGCGACGUAGCUCAAUGGCAGAGCAGGGGACUCAUAAGCCCUUGGUUCUCAGUUCAAAUCUGAGCGUCGCCA
rnacentral:tRNA from 1 species